UGCGUAGGCGGUGCGGUAAGUCUGUUGUGAAAUCUCCGGGCUCAACUCGGAGCCUGCAACGGAAACUGCCGUGCUGGAGUAUGGGAGAGGUGAGUGGAAUUCCCGGUGUAGCGGUGAAAUGCGUAGACAUCGGGAGGAACACCUGUGGCGAAAGCGGCUCACUGGACCAUUACUGACGCUGAUGCACGAAAGCUAGGGGAGCAAACAGGAUUAGAUACCCUGGUAGUCCUAGCCCUAAACGAUGAUCGCUUGGUGUGACAGGUACCCAAUCCUGUUGUGCCGGAGCUAACGCGUUAAGCGAUCCGCCUGGGGAGUACGGUCGCAAGGCUGAA
rnacentral:rRNA from 1 species